rnacentral:rRNA from 1 species
GACGAACGCUGGCGGCGUGCUUAACACAUGCAAGUCGAACGGAAAGGCCCCUUUGGGGGUCCUCGAGUGGCGAACGGGUGGGUAACACGUGGGUAACCUGCCCUUGGCUUCGGGAUAAAUUCAGGAAACUGGGGGUAAUACCGGAUAGGAAUCCUUGCUGCAUGGUGGGGGGUGGAAAGCUUCGGCGGUUUUGGAUGGACUCGCGGCUUAUCAGCUUGUUGGUGGGGUAGUGGCUUACCAAGGCUUUGACGGGUAGCCGGCCUGAGAGGGCGACCGGCCACAUUGGGACUGAGAUACGGCCCAGACUCCUACGGGAGGCAGCAGUGGGGAAUAUUGCACAAUGGGCGGAAGCCUGAUGCAGCAACGCCGCGUGCGGGAUGACGGCCUUCGGGUUGUAAACCGCUUUCAGCAGGGGCGAAGCUUGUGGUGACGGUACCUGCAGAAGAAGCACCGGCUAACUACGUG